CACAGCUGGACCUGGGAUAGUCGGCUGGCCGCAAAGGCCUGGGAGAAGAAUCUGAAAGCUUACACCAGGAUGAGGGAAAGAGAGUCGCCUUACUCUGAAGAGUGAGGGAAGUGAUAUGGAGAAAAUUUUACAGAUAUUUUAGGUCAGUAGUGGCCAAUAUGGUGAGAUAAUGGCUCAUGGCAGACAACAAACAUCUAUGCCUCGACUAACUGUUCCCGAAACUACUGUCCAUUAAUUAAUCCUAAAGCCAAAAGAGGGUAAUAAUCAGAAAAGUAUUUUAUACCUAAGAGCUCAAAAGAUCAGCUAGAUGGGAAGAAUCACUGAAGCACUAAACAGUAUCAUACAGAUUUGAAAGUUACCAUUUUGC
rnacentral:lncRNA from 1 species